CUCGGUGAAAAUACAGUACCGGUGAGACGAAAAGACCCCGGAAGCUUUACUGCAACUUGGCAUUGAGAAUAUGUUUGGACUGCGUAGCAUAGAUGGCAGACUUUGAAGCGUCGCUUUUGGGUGGCGUGGAGUCAACAGUGAAAUACCAUUCUUUCUUGACAUAUUUUCUAACCUCGCACGCAAAACGUGCAAGAGACAGUGCCUGGCGGGCAGUUUUAGUGGGGCGCUAUCCUUGAGCAUUUGAAAGACAACCCCACCCUGCCCUCCCCAAAAGGGAGGGUUCCAAAAGUCCUUACCCUUCGGGGAAGGAUUUAGGAUGGGGUGGUUUUCGAAUGUUCAAUCCGUGGCGCCUCCUAGGUGGUUCACGCCGAAAAAAAUAAAAAAGGGGGACCAUAUCGUCAGAUUAUUUUUUGGCGGUAUGAGAAAAGUUAGCUAUAUGCUGAGAAAUCUCUAUGAGAUAAUCAGCAGGGAAGAUUUGUAAACUUCAAUGUGGGAGAAAACAAAAGGAGAAAAUGAAAUGGGUGCAACCGAUGACGUAAAAUAUCAAUUAUCUCAAGCGAGAAGAGAACCUGGCGAGACUGAUGAAAAGUUAGCUCGCAGACUUUUUUACUUGCAAAUGGAGGUCUACUCAGCAAAUGCUGGGCGCGAUCUUUAUGAAGGUGGUGAUUUCGAGCGUCUCGAUCCACAAGUUCAAGAACAAUGGAUCGAAAAAGCAGGCAAAUACCAGUAGAGUCCUUUCUGGGCCAACCCCGUUGGCCCCAUAUUGAAGUUUACAAAAACCCUCAGAGACUAAACGCUAACCCGCGUCAGACGCGGAAGAUAUAGUCCGAACUUUGUGGCGACAUAAAGAGUGGUAAUAUUCCGUUAUUACCGAUUAACACAAUGCCUAAAGAGUAACGGAGGAGCCUAUUAAGGUCAGCUAGCUGUGAAUGGAAACCAUAGCGAUAGUGUAUAGGCACAAGCUGGCUUAACUGCAAGACGUACAUGUCACGCAGACACGAAAGUGGAGCUAAGUGAACCGAUCGUACGUGUUAGACGCGGCGAAGGAUUAUCGGACAAAAGCUACUCCGGGGAUAACAGGCUGGUACUGCCUAAGCGUCCAGAGCGACGGCAGUGUUCGGCACCUUAACUUUCAAUUUAAAUGUUGAGAACAUCGGGGUGCCUAUCGUAGUAAUGCGAUACAAAAACAAUUUGGCUUAUAUCGGUGGACUCCAUAAACAAGCGUUAUAUAAUUUGAUAUAAUUAGUAAUAUGGACAAUACCGAGGGAAGUCUAUCUCAAUUACAAAAGUCAUUCAUUAUCGGAACUCUUUUGGGAGACGGGUAUAUUCGUCAAGCAAAAGGAAGAAAGAAUGCAUUUCUAGAAGUUAAUCAUUCUAUAACUCAAAAAGAUUAUGUUGAAUGGAAAUACUCUGUCUUGAAAGAUUUAACACGAAGUGGUCCAAAGUCUCGAAAGGGAAAUGGUACACGAGUUGCGUAUAGAUUUUUUACAAAACAACAUCCUGAAUUUACUAAAAUGAUGGAUUUGUUUUACAAAGAUAAGAAGAAAUGUAUUCCUGAUCUAAAAUUAGAUCCAAUGAUAUUGGCAGUGUGGUUUAUGGAUGAUGGAAGUAGAUGUGGUGAAGAAAAUGUAUAUCUAAAUACCCAACAAUUUUCAAAAGAAGACCAAGAAAAGUUAUUGGAAUCUCUAAGGGAAAUUGGUUUAGAGGGAACUCUAAAUAAAGAUAAGCAGUAUUAUAGAAUUAGAUUUAAAACAUCAAGCAUCUCAAAAUUAUUUGGAAUAAUUGAAAAUAAUAUUAUUCCGUCCAUGAAAUAUAAAUUGGGUUAUGACCCCGUAGAGACUUAACCGUAAGUGGUUGGAGUGUGAAGCUAGACUUCAUGCUAAUACGCCGAACCCCUUCUUUAAAUUAAAGAAGGGUGAAGAUAUAGUCCGAUCCUUCCAGUAAUGGGAGAAAAUACGACAGCGAUGUCGGCUCAUCUUAUCCCGGGGGUGGAGAAGCUCCCAAGGGUAUGGCUGUUCGCCAUUUAAAAAGAUACGCGAGCUGGGUUCAGACCGUGGAGGAGUUGUAUCAUGUAGCAAUACAUAUCGCGACUUCUCCACAAUCUGAAUCCUCAGAGGGAAAAGAAAACUGUUAUAAAUUAAUUCGUCUUGUUAAAUGAAAAGUAGAUAAAUCAAAUCACGGCGGUCUAUUGUAGAAAUAUAAUAUGAUCAAGUCAAUUUAUAUCGGGAAAAUCCUUAAAGGAUAAUUCCGAGGGAAGUUUUGUUUUGCGAGAGGGGAAGGAAGAGUAAGCAAUCAGCCAACCAACGACGAUUUUUGUCGGGCUGUAUGUGGCUUGGACAACCAUGACCACGAGCCAUGGUACUUUCUCCUCAUUCUCUUGCAGAACAAAAUACCCGUAGAGACUAAACAUUGACGUUCCUGAAAGGGAAUAAGCUAUAGUCCAUUGCCACAAGUAAUUGUGGGGUUCCGCCUUCGCUAAAAGCUAUGGCGGACGAAGCAAGCGUGAGACAGGUUGGUCUCCUAUCUACUGCAGGCGUUGAUUCUUGAGGGGAUUUGACUCUAGUACGAGAGGACCGAGUUGAACUGACCUCUGUGUUCUGCCAAGAGCAUCGCAGGGUAGCUAAGUCGGGAAAGGAUAACCUCUGAAAGCAUAUAAGAGGGAAGCCAGCCCCAAGAUUAGGAAUCGUUAAGGAUCGUGAGAGAUGAUCACGUUGAUAGGCGCUAGGUGUAAGCACUGUAAAGUGUUGAGCCGAGGCGUACUAAUUUUCCGA
rfam:Parcubacteria bacterium GW2011_GWA1_38_7 TT00_C0007, whole genome shotgun sequence.